UUCCGGUUGAUCCCGCCGGACCCCACUGCUAUCGAGAUGGGACUAAGGUAUGCUAGUCGAACGACCAGAACUAUGUCUGGGAGUGGCACACUGCUCAGUAACACGUAGCUAACCUACCCUUAGGACGUGGAUACCCCCGAGAAAUUGGGGUUAAUCCGCGAUAGAUGUAAUGUCCUGGAAUGGUAUUACGUCUAAAGGUAUUUCAUACAUGUUUGAAAUAUGCCUAAGGAUGGGGCUGCGGCCGAUCAGGCUGUUGGUGAGGUAAUGGCUCACCAAACCUUUGACCGGUACGGGCCAUGAGAGUGGUAGCCCGGAGAUGGACACUGAGACAAGGGUCCAGGCCCUAAGGGGCGCAGCAACCGCGAAACCUCCACAAUGCACUCACGUGCGAUGGGGCUAUCUCGAGUGCCACCUGAUGAAGGUGGCUUUUCCUAGGUCUUCAAAGCCUUGGGAAUAAGAGGGGGGCAAGACUGGUGUCAGCCGCCGCGGUAACACCAGCCCCUCGAGUGGUGGGGAUGAUUAUUUGGCCUAAAGCGUCCGUAGCCGGCCGAGCAAGUCUUCCGUUAAAUCCAGCGUCUCAAGCGUUGGACUGCGGGAGAUACUGCAGGGCUAGAGAGUGGGAGAGGUCAGCGGUAUUCUGGGGGUAGGGGCGAAAUCCUUUGAUCCCCGGAGGACCACCAGUGGCGAAGGCUGCUGACUAGAACACGUCUGACGGUCAGGGACGAAAGCUGGGGUAGCGAACCGGAUUAGAUACCCGGGUAGUCCCAGCCGUAAACGAUGCAUGCUAGGUGUUGGGUUGGGCCAC
rnacentral:rRNA from 1 species